CAAUUGGUUGCCUGUCGUUCAAUCGUGAGAUACGGGGGUGGGACAUUGAGUAGUCAGGUUAGUUAGACCGACACAGAGAAACUAAGAGAUGACACAGGUGGUUUUGCUGUAAUGUCAGAUUAUUGUCCUCCUGCCGGGAUAAAUGCAGAGUUUAUCAAAUAUAUAUGGACGUACAAAAGCACACAGAAGAGGACGGGACGGAAUACACUUCUUGGACCUUGUCGAAGCUGUAUCGGCUGUGAGUGAGAAGCCACGCGGGUCAUGGCCAUGGUCACUGGAUGUUUCCAGCGAGCAGGUAGAGCCAGGUGAGCAGGCCGACCGCUGUGAGUGACACCACCAGCAGCUUCAGGCGUCCACGGCACAGCAGGUUCAUGGUGGGACGGCAGCGCUGCGGGCUC